UAAGAAGCACAACGACAGGGGCGAUCAUGUAAAGACGUGACUGGCACAGAAAAGGACACCAAACAGCAAUGUUUAUACUUCCAACAUUUGCUGAUUGAAGGCAUUUAGAUGCAGUAGUGUGAGGACUGCAUUGGCGAUGGCGUGCUUGUACUGAUCGAGGACAUAAUGCAAAUGCUCCUUCGACUCCUUCCUCCCGUGUGAUAUGACAUCACGACUCGGUUACAAGAGAAGCUCGAGCUCUACAGCAGACGGUUGACAUCUGGUCAGGAUGGCUGCUCAGGUGGAGGUUCAGACUACGGAGGUAGGAAGGACAGUGGCAGGAGGACGACAUCACCUGACUCCCCUGACAGACUCCAGCAAUAAGAGCCUCAUUGACAUCCCGUCUGCCAAUCAGCCGCAGCUCAUCGCAGCUGAACCAAACAAGCCUGCCCCAAGCGCCAAGCCGCGACUUACUCCCAAACCUUUUUCUGUGGAGAAAAAUCCUACAAUUAAGCCCAUACUUGCCCCAAAGCCUCAAACUAAACCCAGACCUGAGUCCACUCGCCUUGCUGGAUACAAACCAGAGCUUCCAAGCAAUCCAAAACCACAGCAGCCGGUUUCCAGCAGCAAACCCAGACCACUUUUAACCAACCCCAACCGUCCUGCCUCUACCUCCUUUCGAUCACCCACUAAGUUGAACACUGGACAGACAACAAAGCUAGUAGCCCAGCCAUUUAAACCAGCUCCUCCACAUGACACUGGAGGCCCUAGCAGACCCACCCCUCCUCCUGUGCCAGCACAGAGGCAGAAACCCUCAACAUCAAGCUUGGCCUACUCAAAGAGCUUUAAAAAACUACCAGCAGCAG
ensembl:lncRNA